CCUACGGGGGGCAGCAGUGAGGAAUAUUGGUCCAUGGACGGAAGUCUGAACCAGCCAUGCCGCGUGCAGGACGACGGCCCUAUGAGUUGUAAACUGCUUUUGUACAAGGGUAAACCUGAAUACGUGUAUUCAGCUGUAAGUACUGUACGCAUAAGGAUCGGCUAACUCCGUGCCAGCAGCCGCGGUAAUACGGAGGAUCCAAGCGUUAUCCGGAUUUAUUGGGUUUAAAGGGUGCGUAGGCGGAUUGAUAAGUUAGAGGUGAAAUGUCCGAGCUUAACUCGGGAACUGACUCUAAUACUGUUGAUCUAGAGAGUAGAUGCGGUAGGCGGAAUGUAUGGUGUAGCGGUGAAAUGCUUAGAGAUCAUUCAGAACACCGAUUGCGAAGGCAGCUUACCAAUCUAUAUCUGACGUUGAGGCACGAAAGCGUGGGGAGCAAACAGGAUUAGAUACCCCUGUAGUC
rnacentral:rRNA from 1 species